AUGGCAAAUCCUAUUGAAGAUAAGAAAGAAUUGACGCCUGUUUGGAACAAGAUUGUUCUGUUAAAAGUGUCGGUUCUGGUGUGGAGAUUAUGGCAAAACAAAAUUCCAAGUAGAGAUAACUUAGUGAAGAGGGGGAUCUUAGGGGAAAGGGUCCGUGUAGUUUCUAGUUCUUUUCUUUUGUUUUUCUACAGUUCUCUGCAGGAUUGA